UCUGUGUGACGACCACAACGCAGUCCUUCCCUCUGACCGCUACAGAGGUCAGUCCUCCCUGGUUGAUGGCUUUGAAGGCAUACUCUGAGGAAAGAUUAAAACAGCAACAGCACCUUACUUUAAACUGUUCACUUCUAUGGGCAACGUUUGCUGGUGGCCUCUCUGCCACUUGAAGAAGAGGCGUCUGGUGGCUCCGUCUGGCAGGCAAGCCUUGUGGUCCCUCAUCAGGUCCCUACUCACAAACCGGCAGUGAUUCCCAGAAUGCAAAGCGGCGUACAGCAGGAAGGGGUCAUCCUCGGAACUGACAGACGCAGACAGGCAGGUGUGAGGGUCUCUGGAGCUCAGCCAGAAUGACCGUCGGGUUUCGUGGUCACCUCUCUUACCAAGGCCCUUCUCCCCAGAUCCCUGAAGAAUUUUUUUCCUUUGCCUUCCCCAGAUCUGUGCCUUGACGCAGUCCUGUCUGAGCUCUGCAGGCAGCUCCUUCCACCUCAUGGUUUGGUUUUUGCUCCUAUAUGCACAGUCCGCCAUGAGACCUCAUGUAGACAAGCGCAUGCCUUUACAAAUCGUGUCCAAAUAAACUGGAUUUUUUUUAACAGGUGGACUCAAGAGAAAGGCACCUGAGCUAAAUGUCAUACAUGUCAUAACAAAGGCUCUGAAUACUCAUGUCAAUGUCAUAUUUCAGUUUUUCCUUUUUAAUAUAGUUGCAUCAUAUUUUAGCAUAAAGCUGUAAAAUAACAAAAAGUGAAAAAAGUGAAGGGAAAAAGCACAAGACUCUUGUGGGACAUUUGGGUUUUACUUCUGUUCUUAUUUAGGGAUCUGAAGCUUGUAACUGUGCUGAAAUGAGUUCUAUUAGCCCGACACACGAAGCUCCUGCAGUCAGAAAAACAUACUGCAUGCUUGUUGUUUCAUUAAACUUUCAUUAAACAGUGUGGAACCCAAAAAACCCAAACCCAAAGGCAGUUGUCGGGGGGGGGGGGGGGGUACGCAAUGUAAUACAAUUCAGCUCAUCAAAAGUACAACCUCUGUGAAACUUAGGAUGUUCUUUUGGGGUUUUUUUUACCAGAAACUUUAAUAUAAUUCACUAUCAUACACCAGUGGUGGACACAUAAGGUCCACUUUAUAAUAUAAUAUAUAUAACGGCUGCUAGUUUGUAUUCAGUUCCACAGGGUGAUUCGGUAUAGAGUCAAAAUGCAGGUCUACUCGGCUCAAACCUUCAGUGUUUGACUUCAUCUCUGUCUGCUUUGUUCUUCAUCUCACCAUCUAUCUACACAUCUAUCUGGGCUUAAAAAUGAUUCAUGCUUUCCUGCUUGCUGUGACAACCGCACUAAUCACCAAAUACAGACAGAAAGACACUAAUUCGCUUUCUAUUUGAAUUGAUGCCCUCCCUCUCUUCCUCCAACUGUCUCUGUCCCUCGGUGCAUCUAUUGCUUCACUGUUGUCUGAAGCCCUCUGUUUGCCCUUAAAAUGAAUUGCCUUGA